UCGUGGGGUGACUUGUCUGCUUAAUUGCGAUAACGAACGAGACCUUAACCUGCUAAAUAGCCAGGCUAGCUUUGGCUGGUCGCCGGCUUCUUAGAGGGACUAUCGGCUCAAGCCGAUGGAAGUUUGAGGCAAUAACA
rnacentral:rRNA from 1 species